rnacentral:lncRNA from 1 species
UUAUUUUAUAAUAUUCACAAGACGACAGCGUAUCUGGUAGAACCAGUAGAUUAUUACUCCUCCCAACCAACCAACCAACCAACCCCUCGGGAAGAAAUUAUUUCUCCACUAAACUGGUUUGUUCUUUUGUUUUUUGCUCUCUGUCGCAACCGACACACCCUCAAGAUGUACGGAGUGACUCGGAAUGGUUUCUCAAUACAAGGUAGGUAUGAGACUCCAGAGUAGGUAUGGUUUCUUUUUCUUGACUCCAAUUAUUUUUUUAAGUAAUGACUUAAUUAAUUAAAUUUUAAUUAAUUAAAUUCUUAAAUUUAAUUUUUAUUUAAUAAAAAAUUUCAGUUAUUAAACUAAUUUUUUUUAAUCUAAAAAAUUAAAGUGAUAGCAUUAAAAAUAUUCUCCAAAAUAUUCUUAUUUAAUUAAUUAAUUUUCAUCGUUACUCAUCUUUAUAACCAUUACUUAAUUAAUUAUUACUCAUCUUUAUAAUUAUUUUAAUAAUUAAUCAUUAUUAAAUUAUUCUCUAAUUAUUAAUUAGAGAAUGUCAUCUUUAUAACUUGUGAUAAUAUAAUAAUAAAUAAUUAUUAUUUUCAUCUUUUUAUUUUCUUUAAAUUAGCAUUAUUAAUCUUUAUAAUUUUUAUGAAUAUUUUUCAUACAAAAACAUCAUAAACUACAACAAAAUUGAUUAACAUAUAAUAAUGUAAAAUUUUAAAAUCGGAUUCAAUUGAAUAUGAUUUAUAUUAUGAUAAUAUGUUAUCUUAUUUAUUUUUUUGAGAUGUUUAUUAUUUAUUUCACAUUUAUAAUUUGUAAGGGGACAAAUAUAAAAGUAUUAUUUUUUAUUUUUUAAAAUAAAAAAUAACUUAAUAUUUAUUUUUAAGUUGAAAGGAAAGGAUAACUUAAUACUUAUCAGAAUCAACUAUUCAACUUUAUUCAAAAUUCAGUUUAAUUCAGGUUUAUUCAAAUUUCAGACAAAAAAAAAAAAAGCAAACGUCACCUUAAUUUUUAAUGUAUGAUAAACAAACUAAUAUUUUACUUUUUAUAGUUCGAUCCAAACAACCAUAAGAUUAACAUGGAUUUUUUUUGGAUAAUUUUAAAUCAGAUAGUGAUGCAGCGUGGUUCUACAAAAGAAAGCUUUGCAGUGAAACUGAUUCAGCAAAAGGAUAAACUGUUAUAGGGUAAUGGAUAGACGAGGGGAUAUUUUCAAUACUCCGUUGGUUCUUGAGAAUACCGAAAUAAAAAAAUAAUCUAAAUUCACGUUGAUUCUAAGAAUACCUGAUUAGUAUUAAAAUUGUUUAAUUAUCAAGCGAUAAUAUGUUAUUUUAUGCUUAUGUUAUAAUUUAUAUUUGUGUUUAUGUAAUAUAUUAUGAAUUAUGAAUUAUGUUUUAAAUAUAUUUAAUUUUGUGUAUUUUUAUGUGUUUAUUAGGAAAAAUAUUAAUUUCACGUACUUCGAGGCUCCAAACAAAUAAAUGGAGGUCAAAUUUGGAUUCCGGAGGUCCGAAAACCUUAAAAUCAGUUAAGAUUGACUUAAAAUUGGGCUUGUGUAAAAAAAAUUGACUUUUCCUGUUGACCGAGCACUGAUUGGAUGAUGAAAUGAGCUUACAAUAGAUAUGAGUGCAUGGGAUAGCUGGCAAUCUUGACCAAAUCUCAACCGUUCAUGAUUCAAUGGCCAUGAUUGUGCCACGUGGUAAUGGUUGGUGAAGCAAGUUGAAGGAUCCGAAUCUUUGUAUUCGGGCCGACCCGAUCCACCCAUUAACCCGCCAAAUCUCAACCGUUCUUUGGGCAAAUCGGACGAGUCAAAUGAUGCCAUCUGUGAUGUUGACUUUUGAAGUUUGACAGCCAUUGGAUCUUGAUCUAAGGGUUAUGAGGAGCACAUGCAUGAAGCCUAUGAUGAACCGCAAAGCACUGGAUUAUGAAUUUAUUUUUCUAUAAAUAGAGCCUCAUAUUUAUGUUUUAAUCAUUUCUCUACAACUCUCUUCUUCUCAAAUUCUCUCCAUCUCCUUGUAAUCUUGAUUUCCAGGUGUGUUUUUAAUAUUUUGUAUAAUUAUUUUCAUUAAUAAAAUUAGUUUUAUUUCCA